GGCGUUUGCAAAUGCCUUCACUUGCGGUUUCACUUUGCUUUUCUUGUUAUUCGUGUUCUUCUUUGGCCGCCAUGGCUUGAAUCCUACUAAUCACUUGUUGUUCCUUCACGAUAUGUUUCUGAUGUCGCUGAUGCUAUCCGGUAUGGCGGCGGGGACUGCAUUUGGGUAUUUAGGCCGCGGUGGUAACAUCCAUGCUGGUUGGUCGCAAACCUGCGGCCCUUGGAACAAGUAAUGUCUGUAGGUGACCACGUCUAUGUGUCCAAUACUGCUAACAAUGUUGUGUCCGGAAAAUAAAAAAGGUUGGACAAGUAAGCAAAAGAGAUUGAAUUGGAAAUAUGAUUUAUAUCAUCAAAUUUUAAGAAUGUGUAAUAAAUAAGCUUGAGCUUGGAGUCAGACCCACAAA